GGUAGACCUCCCACCCUUGUGAAUUUAUACUUUGUUGCUUUGGCGGGCCGCCGCAAGGCUACCGGCUUCGGCUGGUGCGUGCCCGCCAGAGAACCUUCAAACUCUGAAUGUUAGUGUCGUCUGAGUACUAUAAUAAUAGUUAAAACUUUCAACAACGGAUCUCUUGGUUCUGGCAUCGAUGAAGAACGCAGCGAAAUGCGAUAAGUAAUGUGAAUUGCAGAAUUCAGUGAAUCAUCGAAUCUUUGAACGCACAUUGCGCCCCUUGGUAUUCCGGGGGGCAUGCCUGUUCGAGCGUCAUUUCAACCCUCAAGCUCUGCUUGGUAUUGGGCCCUGCCGGCAACGGCAGGCCUUAAAAACAGUGGCGGUGCCUUUAGGUCCUGAGCGUAGUACAUUUCUCGCUAUAGGUCCCUGAAGGUUACUGGCCAGCAACCCCAAUUUUUCUAUGGUUGACCUCGGAUCAGGUAGGGAUACCCGCUGAACUUAAGCAUAUCA
rnacentral:rRNA from 1 species